rnacentral:rRNA from 1 species
GUGAGUAACACGUGGGUAACCUGCCCAUCAGAAGGGGAUAACACUUGGAAACAGGUGCUAAUACCGUAUAACAAUCAAAACCGCAUGGUUUUGAUUUGAAAGGCGCUUUCGGGUGUCGCUGAUGGAUGGACCCGCGGUGCAUUAGCUAGUUGGUGAGGUAACGGCUCACCAAGGCCACGAUGCAUAGCCGACCUGAGAGGGUGAUCGGCCACAUUGGGACUGAGACACGGCCCAAACUCCUACGGGAGGCAGCAGUAGGGAAUCUUCGGCAAUGGACGAAAGUCUGACCGAGCAACGCCGCGUGAGUGAAGAAGGUUUUCGGAUCGUAAAACUCUGUUGUUAGAGAAGAACAAGGAUGAGAGUAACUGUUCAUCCCUUGACGGUAUCUAACCAGAAAGCCACGGCUAACUACGUGCCAGCAGCCGCGGUAAUACGUAGGUGGCAAGCGUUGUCCGGAUUUAUUGGGCGUAAAGCGAGCGCAGGCGGUUUCUUAAGUCUGAUGUGAAAGCCCCCGGCUCAACCGGGGAGGGUCAUUGGAAACUGGGAGACUUGAGUGCAGAAGAGGAGAGUGGAAUUCCAUGUGUAGCGGUGAAAUGCGUAGAUAUAUGGAGGAACACCAGUGGCGAAGGCGGCUCUCUGGUCUGUAACUGACGCUGAGGCUCGAAAGCGUGGGGAGCAAACAGGAUUAGAUACCCUGGUAGUCCACGCCGUAAACGAUGAGUGCUAAGUGUUGGAGGGUUUCCGCCCUUCAGUGCUGCAGCUAACGCAUUAAGCACUCCGCCUGGGGAGUACGACCGCAAGGUUGAAACUCAAAGGAAUUGACGGGGGCCCGCACAAGCGGUGGAGCAUGUGGUUUAAUUCGAAGCAACGCGAAGAACCUUACCAGGUCUUGACAUCCUUUGACCACUCUAGAGAUAGAGCUUCCCCUUCGGGGGCAAAGUGCCAGGUGGUGCAUGGUGGUCGUCAGCUCGUGUCGUGAGAUGUUGGGUUAAGUCCCGCAACGAGCGCAACCCUUAUUGUUAGUUGCCAUCAUUCAGUUGGGCAUUCUAGCAAGACUGCCGGUGACAAACCGGAGGAAGGUGGGGAUGACGUCAAAUCAUCAUGCC